rnacentral:lncRNA from 1 species
CCAAAGCUUCCGAAAUUUUAAUAUGCUGGUACUGAAGACAAAAUGGAGGUCAAGUUCAAAUAAUGACAAUUUUGACUUUUACCGUUUCAGGAGUUAUGGUUCUUGAAAGAUUGAAAAAUGGUUUUCCCGUCGUGUCUGUGCAUUUUUUCUCAUGAACAUUCAACAAAGCUUUUGAAAUUUUAAUUAUGUUUACUGAUAACGAAUAGAGGUCAAGUUCAAUAAUGACGAUUUUGACUUUUACCGUUCAGGAGUUAUGGUUCUUGAAAGAUCAUAAAAUGGCGUUUCCAUUCAGGUUGUUGCAUUUACUCAUGAACUAUUCAAUCUAAGCUUUUCAAAUUUUAAUAUUUGAUACUGAUGAAAAGGGAGGUCAAAUUUGAUAUUGACGAUUUUCACUUUCACCAUUCAUCAGUAAUGGUUCUUGUGAUAUUGCCAGGACACAAAUAAAUGUUAAUAAAUCCGGUUUGCUGUCGUUAUGACAGCCUCUUGUUACAUCUUGCUUAGGGUGGUAAAAGGGGGUCUGAACACUGAAAAAUGGGAAAUGAAAAAUUAAUAAAACGUUGCAUGGAAAAGCACAAGAAAUAAAAUCGUAGAUAUUAAGGUGGUACCCAACACUUUCACUAAAAUUAAUUUGGCUUAUCUGUAUCAUUGUCCAAAUUGUCUGUUUGUGUAGUAUUGUCAAUUCUCUAUUUUGACUUGAGUCCUGUUAGAUCUUCAAGUGAGCAGUUAAGAAUAUAGGAGUUUCUCACUAAAUUUAUACCAGAAUUUAUUUCAUAACUGAGAGUUUGACAUGAGGAUCAAAUGCCUUUCUGCUGUUGAUCAUGUUGAUGUUAAGCAAAAUCUCCUGUCAUUCAUUUGAUGUAUCUGGGGUUUGCAAGGGCUGAUUUAGAUUCAGGGUGGCACAUCCCCCCUUUUUAUGGAAACAACAAUAUGGUAACUGCGUAGAUUUUCAACAUGCCCCACUCUUAACAUUGCCUAGUUUGAAUAAUAAUAGUCUGUCAUUUGAUUUAAUUGACUCUGUAUACUAAAGACAAGUUUUUCCUGUACAAUGGACAUGAAUUGGGGAGAAAAUGUGUUGUUUUUUCACUUGUUAUAUCGAUAAAGUUAUGUGAAUUUGUAGAGUGAUAAUGUAUUUAAUGUUUAUAUUGUUAUAAGUACUUGUAUGUAACAUAUGCAUUACAGUAAAACCUAAUCAUGUACAGUGGAUAAUAAUCAGUAUUAAUCAAUAUAAUGCAGUCAAGAAUCCACAAUCCCAUUUACAGUUGUGUAUACUUAAGCUUAUUAUAUAGCUGUUUAUUUCUUCUGCUGGACAGGAGUAAUAUGAAUCCAAAAAAUUAAAAAAAAUACUUAUUUAGUUUAGUUUAGUUUAAACAUAUUUUAUUUGAUCAAGUACAAAUUGGAUAAGACACAAGUCAAACAGACUUAUGAAGUCUUCUCCAUUUAACAUUUUUAGCAAUAUAAUACAAAAUAUUUGUAAAACUAAAAAUACUUAUUUCAAAUGUUUACCAUGAAAGUUAUACUUCUGUUGAGUUUGUUGUUAAUUUUUUUGUCUAUAAACCAGAGUUGUAAAUAAUAUUUAACACUUAUGGAAUAAAACCACUAAUUCAUAGCCCAAUUGAUUUGAUUCAAAAUUAACUGAAUCUUUUAAAUUUUGACAAUGUUACAGCUAUGCACAGGACCUAUUUUGUUUAUAUAUAAUAUGUUCUACUUUCUUGUACAUGUAUAUUCUUUAUGACUGGGCCCAAAUUAGUGGUUUUGUACUUUAUACAGUUCACUAUGUUCUUUUUAACCAGGCCUGAAUUAGUGGUUUUGUACCAAAUACAGUUCACUGUUCUUUUUUACAGUAACUGGCCCAAUUAGUAGUUCAGUCUGUAAUUAAUUAUUUAAACAUAUAUAUUCUGAUUUUUUAUUCUUUCAAUAUCAAAUGUAAAUUGAUAUUGAAGAUCUUUAAAGGAACAAUUAAAUCUUUUUUAAAAUUAUUGCUGUGUAAACAAUGUUAUAAUUAUAGAAUCACUAAUCCAAAAAUUUAAGAAUAAAAAAAAACCCAAUCCAACCAGUGAUCUAUUAACGAACAACACACUGAAUUCAAAUAAUCUUUUUCAUUUUCAAAAUAUUUCAGCUUUUGAAAUGAAUGUUUUAUUUUUAUUUCUAAAUGUUGCAAGUAUAUUUAUCCAGUAACACACUUGUCACAGUAAAGACUGAAAAAGGUAUAUGCAUUAGAAUCAAGAUUGAUGUCUAAAAAACAAUUCUUUGUUACUUAAAAUUUAUUUUGCCUCAUAAAUUUGUUUUCCUUCUAUAUAUUUAUGCACAUAUGUAAUAUUUAUUGUCCUCUUUCUAGAAAUCAUGUUGAAAACACAAUUGAUAAAUCAUUUACUGGUAAAUGAAUGAUAAUUCAAUAAAAUUAUAAUAUCUGCUAUAAUAGUUU